rnacentral:rRNA from 1 species
GAGUUUGAUCCUGGCUCAGGAUGAACGCUGGCGGCGUGCUUAACACAUGCAAGUCGAACGAAGCGCUUUAAGGAAGUAGCUUGCUAUGGAACGAAAGCGACUGAGUGGCGGACGGGUGAGUAACGCGUGGGUAACCUGCCUCACACAGGGGGAUAACAGCGAGAAAUUGCUGCUAAAACCGCAUAAGCGCACAGUAACGCAUGUUACGGUGUGAAAAACUCCGGUGGUGUGAGAUGGACCCGCGUCUGAUUAGCUUGUUGGUGAGGUAACGGCCCACCAAGGCGACGAUCAGUAGCCGACCUGAGAGGGUGACCGGCCACAUUGGGACUGAGACACGGCCCAAACUCCUACGGGAGGCAGCAGUGGGGAAUAUUGCACAAUGGGCGAAAGCCUGAUGCAGCGACGCCGCGUGAGUGAAGAAGUAUUUCGGUAUGUAAAGCUCUAUCAGCAGGGAAGAAAAUGACGGUACCUGACUAAGAAGCCCCGGCUAACUACGUGCCAGCAGCCGCGGUAAUACGUAGGGGGCAAGCGUUAUCCGGAUUUACUGGGUGUAAAGGGAGUGUAGGUGGCAUAACAAGUCAGAAGUGAAAGCCCGGGGCUCAACCGCGGGACUGCUUUUGAAACUGUUA